AUACGGAGGACGCGAGCGUUAUCCGGAUUCAUUGGGUUUAAAGGGUGCGCAGGCGGCCGUGCAAGUCAGCGGUGAAAGCCCGGGGCUCAACCCCGGAAGUGCCGUUGAUACUGCGUGGCUGGAAUGCGGUCGAGGCGGGCGGAACGUGGCGUGUAGCGGUGAAAUGCGUAGAAAUGCCACAGAACGCCGAUAGCGGAGGCAGCUCGCCAGGCCUGCAUUGACGCUCGGGCACGAAAGCGUGGGGAUCGAACAGGAUUAGAUACCCUGGUAGUCCACGCCGUAAACGAUGGGCGCCCGUCGUCGGCGACAGACAGUCGGCGGCCAAGCGAAAGCGAUAAGCGCCCCACCUGGGGAGUACGGUCGCAAGGCUGAAACUCAAAUGAAUUGACGGGG
rnacentral:rRNA from 1 species